rnacentral:rRNA from 1 species
ACGGAAGGCAGCAGUGGGGAAUAUUGCACAAUGGGGGAAACCCUGAUGCAGCAACGCCGCGUGAGUGAAGAAGUAUUUCGGUAUGUAAAGCUCUAUCAGCAGGGAAGAUAAUGACGGUACCUGACUAAGAAGCCCCGGCUAACUACGUGCCAGCAGCCGCGGUAAUACGUAGGGGGCAAGCGUUAUCCGGAUUUACUGGGUGUAAAGGGAGUGUAGGUGGCCUGGCAAGCCAGAUGUGAAAGCCCGCAGCUCAACUGCGGGACUGCAUUUGGAACUGUUAGGCUUGAGUGCAGGAGAGGAAAGUGGAAUUCCUAGUGUAGCGGUGAAAUGCGUAGAUAUUAGGAGGAACACCAGUGGCGAAGGCGGCUUACUGGACGGUAACUGACGUUGAGGCUCGAAAGCGUGGGGAGCAAACAGGAUUAGAUACCCUGGUA